rnacentral:misc_RNA from 1 species
UACGUAGGGUGCAAGCGUUAUCCGGAGUUAUUGGGCGUAAAGCGUUACGUCGGCGGGUCAGUCAGUGAUAUGUCCAAGCCUGGGGCUUAACCCCAGAAAGGCAUAUCAUACUGCUGAUCUUGAGGAUGUUAGAGGGAACUGGAACUCUCGGUGGAGGGGUGAAAUCCGUAGAUAUCGAGAGGAACGCCAAGGGUGAAGACAGGUUCCUGGGACAUUCCUGACGCUCAUGUACGACAGCUUGGGUAGCAAACAGG